rnacentral:rRNA from 1 species
AUCGGUGUUAAUAGCAAAGAGGUUCCACCUGUUCCCAUUCCGAACACAGAAGUUAAGCUCUUUCACGUCGAAAAUACUUGGCUGGCGACGGCCCGGGAAGAUAGAUAGGUGCCGGCA